AGAAGUACUGAAUAUCAAACCGUAUGCUGUACACAUUUUCCUUUGAGGAGUUAUAAAUAUAUCGAGUGUAACUUACUAAAUAACCCCCUCUAUGCUUUGAUGAACCAAAGCAUUUACACAUUGAAAUCGUCAAAAAUGCCCCCACUCAUCUCUAGCGGUGUACAUAGAUCGGGUUGGUUCAGAUUUUACAAUUAUCAAACCAAACCAAUUAUGCCGGGUUAUUAAAUCUAUAGACCAAAUCAAACCAAUAAAUUCGGGUUUUUCAAUAUCGGUUUUCCUCGGUUUUUUCGGGUUUUCGGGUUUUUCGGGUUUUUUCG
rnacentral:lncRNA from 1 species